CUGCCCUGGACAACACCAACAUCGGGAAGGUGGCCAACUACAUCAAGGAGCAGUCCGUGUCGAACUUCCAGGCUGUGGUCAUCUCGCUGAAGGAAGAAUUCUACACAAAGGCUGACGCUCUGAUCGGAGUUUACCCUGAGCAAGGCGACUGUGUCAUCAGCAAAGUGCUGACCUUCGACCUGACCAGCUUCCCGGAGGCCGGGCCCUCUCCCAACGAGUGACGGGACGGGACGGGACGGGACGGGGGAGGGGGAGGGGGAGCGUGUCGACAUCUCCCCCCCUCCUCCAACUGCGGCCCGCUAACGGCAUCGCAUUCUCACUCCCUGUU